rnacentral:tRNA from 1 species
UGGGGAGAUAUCUCAGUGGUAGAGCACAUGCCUAGUAUGUGUGAGACCCUGGGUUCAAUCCCCAGCGUCACAC